ACGUGGGUGAUCUGCCCUGCACUUUGGGAUAAGCCUGGGAAACUGGGUCUAAUACCGAAUACACCCUGCUGGUCGCAUGGACCUGGUGGGGAAGCUUUUGUCGGUGUGGGAGUGGGCCCGGCCGGCCUAUCAGCUUGUUGGUGGGGUGGAUGGCCUACCAAGGCGACGACGGGUAGCCGGCCUGAGAGGGUGUCCGGCCACACUGGGACUGAGAUACGGCCCAGACUCCUACGGGAGGCAGCAGUGGGGAAUAUUGCACAAUGGGCGCAAGCCUGAUGCAGCGACGCCGCGUGGGGGAUG
rnacentral:rRNA from 1 species